CGCGUGAGGGAACCUGCCGUCAAAAGAGGGGGACGAACAGUUGGAAACGACUGCUAAUACGCAUAAGCCACGGUCGGCAUCGACCAGAGGGAAAGGAAGCAAUCCGCUUUGAGAUGGCCUCGCGUCCGAUUAGCUAGUUGGUGAGGUAAUGGCCACCAAGGCGACGAUCGGUAGCCGGACUGAGAGGUUGAACGGCCACAUUGGGACUGAGACACGGCCCUAGACUCCUACGGGAGGCAGCAGUGGGGAAUAUUGCACAAUGGGGGAAACCCUGAUGCAGCGACGCCGCGUAGGAGGAAG
rnacentral:rRNA from 1 species